AUAAAUAUUGUCAUUCCAU
rnacentral:miRNA from 1 species